rnacentral:tRNA from 1 species
GCGGGCGUGGCGGAAUGGCAGACGCGCCAGAUUUAGGAUCUGGUGCCCCAGGCGUAUGAGUUCGAGUCUCUUCGCCCGCACCA